rnacentral:rRNA from 1 species
UACGGAGGGGGCUAGCGUUGUUCGGAAUUACUGGGCGUAAAGCGUACGUAGGCGGCUUUGUAAGUUAGAGGUGAAAGCCCGGGGCUCAACCCCGGAAUUGCCUCUAAGACUGCAUCGCUUGAACGUCGGAGAGGUGAGUGGAAUUCCGAGUGUAGAGGUGAAAUUCGUAGAUAUUCGGAAGAACACCAGUGGCGAAGGCGGCUCACUGGACGACUGUUGACGCUGAGGUACGAAAGCGUGGGGAGCAAACAGG